AGAGCGUAGGGUGAAUAGCUAGGCACCAAGAGCCGAAGAAGGACGUGAUAAGCUGCGAAAAGCUUUGGGUAGGAGCAAAUAUCCAUUAAUCCAGAGAUAUCCGAAUGAGGGAACUCACUUAGAGCAAACAAUCUAAGUAUCCAUAUAUGAGUAAAGUAGUAUAUGAGAAGGGAACGUGGGGAACUGAAACAUCUUAGUACCCACAGGAAAAGAAAGAGAAAUCGAUUCCUAGAGUAGUGGCGAGCGAAAUAGGAAGAGCCUAAACCAUGAGUAGUAAUACACAUGGGGUUCGGACCACGAUAUAUUAUCAAUAAUUCUAAUAGAAAUGUUUUGGAAAAGCAUACCAUAGACGGUGAAAGUCCAGUAUAUGAAAGAAAAGUUGAGAUUAGUGGUAUCCAAAGUAGUACGAGACACGAGAAAUCUCGUAUGAAUAAGCGGGGACCAUCCCGUAAGGCUAAAUACUACUUGGUGACCGAUAGUGAACUAGUACCGUGAGGGAAAGGUGAAAAGAACCCCGGGAGGGGAGUGAAAUAGAACAUGAAACCCUAUGUUUACAAGCAGACAAAGCACUUUAUAUGUGCGAUGUCGUACUUUUUGUAGAACGGUCCAGCGAGUUAUUGUGUAUGGCGAGGUUAAGUAUUACGUAAGGUACGGAGCCGAAGCGAAAGCGAGUCUGAAAAGGGCGAUAUAAGUCAUGCAUAAUAGACCCGAAACUGAGUGACCUAUCCAUGAGCAGGAUGAAGCUAGAGUAAAAUCUAGUGGAGGUCCGAACUGAUUGUCGUUAAAAAGGCACCGGAUGACUUGUGGAUAGCGGAGAAAUUCCAAUCGAACUCAGAGAUAGCUGGUUCUCCUCGAAAUAGCUUUAGGGCUAGCCUUGAGGGAAUGCAUAUGGGGGUAGAGCACUGAAUGAGGUAGGGGCCUAACCAGGUUACCAAACUCUAUCAAACUCCGAAUACCAUAUGUAAAUACUCAGGAGUCAGACUGCGGGAGCUAAGUUCCGUGGUCAAAAGGAAAACAGUCCAGAUCGUCAAUUAAGGUCCCAAAGAUAUAGCUAAGUGGAAAACGAUGUGAUUUUGCAUAAACAACCAGGAUGUUGGCUCAGAAGCAGCCAUUCAUUCAAAGAGUGCGUAAUAGCUCACUGGUCGAGUGAAGUUGCGCGGAAAAUUACCGGGGCUAAGCUAUACACCGAAAUUGCGGAUUUACAUUUGAAAGACAAUGUAAGUGGUAGAGGAGCAUUCUGUAGUAGGAAGAAGCAUGACCGUAAGGACAUGUGGACGAAGCAGAAGAGAGAAUGCUGGAAUAAGUAGCGAGAGGAUGGUGAGAAUCCAUCCCGUCGAAAAUCUAAGGUUUCCCAGGGAAGGUUCGUCCGCCUGGGGUAAGUCGGGACCUAAGGAGAGGCCGAAAGGCGUAUCUGAUGGAUAGCAGGUUGAAAUUCCUGCACUACGAAUAUACUUAAAAGAUUCAAGGGACGCAGAAGUGGAAGAUAACCAAGUAAGAGGAAAAGCUUGGCUCGCAAGAGGGAGUGAAAAUUAAAAGUAACGAAGUAUCAAGAAGCACGCUGACGAGAAAAGCUUGAAGAUAUUGUAUAUAAGUACCCGUACCGCAAACCGACACAGGUAGAUGAGGAGAGGAUCCUAAGACGAGCGGGAGAAGCAUUGUUAAGGAACUCGGCAAACUAACCCCGUAACUUCGGAAUAAGGGGUGCUGAUGUAACAGUCAGUCGCAGAGAAAAGGCCCAAGCAACUGUUUAACAAAAACAUAGGUUUCUGCUAAAUCGAAAGAUGAAGUAUAGGAGCUGACGCCUGCCCAGUGCUGGAAGGUUAAGGGAAAGAGUUAGGGUUAAACCGAAGCUUAGAACUGAAGCCCCAGUGAACGGCGGCCGUAACUAUAACGGUCCUAAGGUAGCGAAAUUCCUUGUCAGGUAAGUUCUGACCCGCACGAAAGGCGUAAUGAUUUGGGCGCUGUCUCGACAAUGUCCCCGGCGAAAUUGUAGUACUAGUGAAGAUGCUAGUUACCUGCGAUAAGACAGAAAGACCCCAUGGAGCUUUACUGCAGUUUGAUACUGGGUUUCGAUGAUUUAUGUACAGGAUAGUUGGGAGACUAUGAAAGAGAGGCGUCAGCUUCUCUGGAGUCGUUGUUGGGAUACCAACCUUAAGUUAUUGAAAUUCUAACUUGUAAUCGUAAACCGGUUAGAGGACAAUGUCAGACGGGCAGUUUGACUGGGGCGGUCGCCUCCUAAAGAGUAACGGAGG
rnacentral:rRNA from 1 species